UACGUAGGGUGCAAGCGUUAAUCGGAAUUACUGGGCGUAAAGCGUGCGCAGGCGGUUUUGUAAGUCUGACGUGAAAUCCCCGGGCUCAACCUGGGAAUUGCGUUGGAGACUGCAAGGCUAGAAUCUGGCAGAGGGGGGUAGAAUUCCACGUGUAGCAGUGAAAUGCGUAGAGAUGUGGAGGAACACCGAUGGCGCAAGGCAGCCCCCUGGGUCAAGAUUGACGCUCAUGCACGAAAGCUGGGGAGCAAACAGG
rnacentral:rRNA from 1 species